rnacentral:tRNA from 1 species
UCCCUCGAGCCGGAUUUGAACCAGCGACCUAAGGAUCACUGUUGUAACAUCUACAGUCCUCCGUUCUGCCAACUGAGCUAUCGAGGG